GGUAGCGUGGCCGAGUGGUGUAAGGCGCUGGUUUUAGGCACCAGUCAUUUCGAUGACGUGGGUUCGAAUCCCACCGCUGCCA
rnacentral:tRNA from 1 species